rnacentral:tRNA from 1 species
ACUCAAAUAGCUUAAUUGUUUAGAGCGCGACGCUGAAGAUGUCGAUGAGGUUUUAUUGACCUUUGAGUG